rnacentral:rRNA from 1 species
AAUAAUUUAUUUGAUGGUUCCUUACUACAUGGAUAACUGUGGUAAUUCUAGAGCUAAUACAUGCGUAAAGGCCCGACUCUCGCGGGGAGGGCUGUAUUUAUUAGAUAAAAAACCAAUACGCUUCUGGCGUUUUUGUGGUGAAUCAUAGUAACUUUUCGAAUCGCAUGGCUUCACGCCGGCGAUAGUUCAUUCAAAUUUCUGCCCUAUCAGCUUUCGACGGUAGUGUAGUGGACUACCGUGGCGUUAACGGGUAACGGAGAAUUAGGGUUCGAUUCAGGAGAGGGAGCCUGAGAAACGGCUACCACA